GGUGAACGCUGGCGGCGUGCUUAAGACAUGCAAGUCGAACGGGCUCUUCGGAGCCAGUGGCGCACGGGUGAGUAACGCGUAACUGACCUACCCCAAAGUCGCGGAUAACGAUUCGAAAGAAUCGCUAAUACGUGAUGUGCUGUCAGAUCUUGUUCUGCCAGUAAAGAUUUAUUGCUUUGGGAUGGGGUUGCGUUCCAUCAGCUAGUUGGUGGGGUAAAGGCCCACCAAGGCGACGACGGAUAGCCGGCCUGAGAGGGUGGCCGGCCACAGGGGCACUGAGACACGGGUCCCACUCCUACGGGAGGCAGCAGUUAGGAAUCUUCCACAAUGGGCGAAAGCCUGAUGGAGCGACGCCGCGUGAGGGAUGAAGGUCUUCGGAUCGUAAACCUCUGAAUCAGGGACGAAAGCCACUUUAUGUGGGAUGACGGUACCUGAGUAAUAGCACCGGCUAACUCCGUGCCAGCCGCCGCUGUAAUAC
rnacentral:rRNA from 1 species